rnacentral:rRNA from 1 species
GACGGAGGGUGCUAGCGUUGUUCGGAAUCACUGGGCGUAAAGGGCGCGUAGGCGGCCUUGCAAGUCGGUUGGUGAAAGCCCGGGGCUCAACCCCGGAGGUGCGGCCGAGACUGCAGGGCUGGAGGCCGGAAGAGGAGGGUGGAAUACCCAGUGUAGAGGUGAAAUGCGCAGAUAUCGGGAGGAACACCUAUGGCGAAGGCAGCUCGCUGGGACGUUACUGACGCUGAGACGCGAAAGCGUGGGGAGCAAACAGG